UGCGGAAUUGUGGUUGACGCGUGGUCAGGCGUUUUUUCUGAUGGGCUUCAGAUGUGAAGUGACACACAGAUGGAAGUGCCGAUGGCAUUUACAGCAGGAGAGAAAAAAACUAGGCUCCUUUUUUUCUUCUAGCCUACAGACACACACACACACACAUACACACACACACACCGUCUCUCUAGCUCUCGCGCGCACGCACACACACUUACCGUAUACUGUACACCAAGCGCGAGCUCUUCCGGGUCGGUGCAGGCUGCGGAGUAAAAACACACACUUAAAUCUGAAUGGGAUCGAUCACACGCGUCCGUAACGAACCUUUUUAACAGAGAGAGAGUGGGGACGUGGACGUGCGGGCCGCGGAGAGGGAACAGGUACCGCCCGCGUGCGUUCGGUAGCACGCCGCUUUUCUCCGUGAGUCGUAAUAACGAAGCCCGUUAGAUGCCAGACUGAUGCUCUAUAAUGCAUGAGAUGACUGAUAGCGCCUGCCACGGUUUGACCAUUUGAAUUUGUUUUUAUUCACUAAUCCUUCGCGGUUACUAUGAUUUGUAAAUAAUUUCUAAUGAAAAAAGAUAUCUGUUAAAAUUCUGUUCGUAUAUUUCUAUUUAUGUUUUAUAUGAAAUUGUAGCCUAAAUAUAGCCUACGGUAAGAAAUAAUACACGCUUGCUUAAACACGUAGGCUAUUUUAUCCAGAUAUAUUUUACUAGAAAUAUUAUAGAUGUAUUUCCACAUGAAAGAUAUCGUGAUUUGCAUAGAUAAAUGAUAUUAAAACAAUGAAAAUCAGAUGAUGCUAUGUGUAGAAUUAUGACGUUUCUGUGUAGAUCAUUUCAGCUAAUUUCUAAACAAAAUAUUUUAUCGUGGCCAUUAUAUAUUGGUAGAUAAAUCGUGGUGUUUGUAUAUAUGACAUCUUCAGCAUUAAAAUUUUAGAAUUUCCAGUCUUUUGUUUUUAUUAUUCUUUUAUAUUUGAUUUUGUUUUUAUUGAAAUAUUAACAUGUAGAUAUGCAUAAAUCAUUACAGAUGUUCUGUUGCAGGUUUGCAGUGGAAACUCACUGAAGAGGAAACUGCUGUAUGUCCAUCUCCAUGUGACCUCUGACCUCUGGGGAAGCUGUGAGUGACCUUUAUCUUCUAAUCUGCAAAAACUAACAUCACUCAGUAGAGCAUUGAGACAUGCAUGUAAACAAAGUGUUUGAUGAACCGUUUUCCUCGACCAUCUUAAACCACCUGAUAUACAAAUAGAUCAUAACACAUGUUAAAAUCUUAUUCAAAUCACACACCUUUCAUGCAGCUUCAUGAGCUUGAGGGGAACUGACAAUACAUUCAUUCAAAAUCACACUGGUACUAGUUGCUUAAAAGUCAAUGAUAAAAUGGCUUAUAAAAGUGGAGCUCUAAGGGUUAGAUGUUUGCAAAUGCCACCUGGAUUGAUAUUUUGUUUCCUAAUUAAAUGACAUUUAUACCUUCAAGGGUGACAUAAGGCCUGUUCACACCAAGAAUAAAGAUAUACCAGGUAACCAUAACUCUAAAAGUGUUAAAAAAUCAACUCUUAAAGAAUAGCAAAGUUCACAACAAAAUUGAUAAGGACACAGAGAAAUAUAUCGUUCAGCGUUAAAAAGUGAAACAUUAUCGUCUGGGUGGACACUAUAGAUAAUUAUCAUUAGUUAUACUCAUCGUUCUUGGUGUGAAUGUGCUUUAAUGUGUAAUGUUUUUUGUUGUUGUUUGAGCCACUGUAAGAUGUAUCAUUGACUUUUGUUAUAGCUUGACAAUUCCAUAUUUUUGUCCAUUACUUUUACGCUUAUGGUCAUGACCUUCCCGCUCAUCUUUGUUGCGUUUAAAGGCAUGCGAAGGCUUCAAAUGGGUGUUUUUGUUAUAGCCGGUGCUCAGAGCUCACAGCUAUUGUCUGUAGAUACACUCUCAUUUAACAGGCAGCUCUGGAUACCAGUCUACAUGUGGAAAGCAUUUCUUAUCACCAUCCAGUCCACUGCUAACUGCUCCCUGCUGCAUCAGAACCAUCAUUUCUGCUUUGAAACGAAUAACAAUGCAACAAUAAAGGCCUCAGUUUUCUGUGAUAAGCGCUAACAUAAAGAAAUGAUCUAGCCACGGUAAAGGCUCAUUUAGCCAGCCGUAUCUGUGCGAUUAGCAGAAAUGACAGGUAGUGAGGGGAUAUUUGAGGAGAUUUUAAAUGAGUUCAGUGGCGGAGAGUCCGCAUCAGGUGGAAUACUUACUUCAAAGCUGCUGUGUGGGAGCUAAAUACUAGUCAUACUGGCAGAACUACAAAGAAACAGACUGAUAAGAAGAGUAUUUUUACCGUGUUGUAUUCUACCUUUCAUAUGUGUCGAUGUAAAUGCACUUUUAUAGUAUAUUAAUAAAAUUACAACAUUUGCCCUCAUUAUUUCAUUGCUCAAAAUAUCAUAUUAC